rnacentral:rRNA from 1 species
GACGAACCGUGCAAACGUUGUUCGGAAUCACUGGGCUUAAAGGGCGCGUAGGCGGGCAUUCAAGUCUAUGGUGAAAUCCGGCAGCUCAACUGUCGAAUUGCCGUGGAUACUGGGUGUCUCGAGGGAGGUAGGGGCAUGCGGAACUAUUGGUGGAGCGGUGAAAUGCGUUGAUAUCAAUAGGAACUCCGGUGGCGAAGGCGGCAUGCUGGACCUCUUCUGACGCUGAGGCGCGAAAGCCAGGGGAGCAAACGGG